UGCUGCAGCCAAUCAUGCAAACUGUCUAGGAUUCUCCUUCCAUCAAAGAUAAAAGCCGGUUUGAGCAUUGCCUUGUAGAUUUUCUCAUAGCUACCUCUGACAAGAUUUUCUACUGACAGACAGCUAUGCUGGGUACAGAAAUAUUCCUAUGAAUCAUCAGGCUGCAGACCUUCGAAAGACCUUGGGGCAAAGGUGCUAGAGUGGGACAGGUCUUGCAUGAUCUGCUCUUUCUUCACUUUGGGAUCAUAGAUGUGCAGCUGAGCU